rnacentral:rRNA from 1 species
GACGAACCGUGCGAACGUUAUUCGGAAUCACUGGGCUUAAAGCGCGUGUAGGCGGGAGGGCACGUCCGGCGCUGAAAUCCCCCGGCUCAACCGGGGAACGGGCGCGGAUACGACCUUCCUGGAGGGGCGUAGGGGGACCUGGAACUUCCGGUGGAGCGGUGAAAUGCGUUGAGAUCGGAAGGAACGCCCGUGGCGAAAGCGAGGUCCUGGACGCCUACUGACGCUGAGACGCGAAAGCCAGGGGAGCGAACGGG